UACGUAGGGUGCAAGCGUUGUCCGGAAUUAUUGGGCGUAAAGAGCUCGUAGGCGGUUUGUUGCGUCGGCUGUGAAAUCCCGAGGCUCAACCUCGGGUCUGCAGUCGAUACGAGCAAACUAGAGUGUUGCAGGGGAGACUGGAAUUCCUGGUGUAGCGGUGAAAUGCGCAGAUAUCAGGAGGAACACCCGGUGGCGAAAGG
rnacentral:rRNA from 1 species